AAGAUAGGCCAGGCUAGGUUAGCUUGGGUUAUAUUGGAGGUUAGAAUCAUGAGUUCUGUUCUUCUAUGACACCAAAUUAGAAAUAGGUUAGAGUUAGAAUCACGCGCGGUUUAGGUCAGGUCAGGUUAGAAUACAUUAAUUCUAUCGUAAACAGAUUGAAAUCAGGAUGAUAUCAGGCGAUAUUAAGUUAAGGACAGAAAACGAAAGAUGAAGCGAAAAGAUGCCAAAAAGAGAAAGAAAAAUAAACACUAAGAAGAUUGAAGAAGUAAUUUUUCCCACAUCGUCAUGAUUGCAUUAUUGCUAUACCAUACACCACUGUGGUAUCGUUGCUGCAGUUUUAAAGUCAUGUACAUGCAAACUCUCACACACGAAACAUAACCGGCAGAAACGGUAUUAUAAACGAUAUACACAGCAAAAUGUUGGCAUAAAUUUGGUAAAUUUACGGUAAAUACACGACCGCGAUUAAGAUAAUGCGGAUAAUUGUCGGCGUUUGGUGACUAAAAUCGCAUGGUACGAUGUGGCGACACAUUUUCCUAAUAAUAUGUGUAACAUGAAGUAUUUGUUUACUUUUUUAAAUUUAUUCAUUAGUUUUAUACUGUUACAUAUUUAUAUUAUUUAAUAAACAACACAGAGCUGUCAUGUGCUGUUCUUCACUCUCA